UUUGUACUCCCUAUGUCCCAAAAUUCUUGUCUUAAAUUUAUCUAAAUACGGAUGUAUCUAGUUACAUUUUAGUGUUAGAUACAUCCGUAUCUAAACAAAUGUAAGACAAGAAUUUUGGGACGGAGGGAAUACUAC
rnacentral:pre_miRNA from 1 species